rnacentral:rRNA from 1 species
UACGAAGGGUGCAAGCGUUACUCGGAAUUACUGGGCGUAAAGGGUGCGUAGGCGGUUCGUUAUGUCUGCUGUGAAAGCCCCGGGCUUAACCUGGGAAUGGCAGUGGAAACUGGCGGGCUUGAGUGUGGCAGAGGGGGGUGGAAUUCCGCGUGUAGCAGUGAAAUGCGUAGAGAUGCGGAGGAACACCGAUGGCGAAGGCAGCCCCCUGGGCUAACACUGACGCUGAGGCACGAAAGCGUGGGGAGCAAACAGG